UAAGAAUUUAAAAGUCGAACAGACUUAUUUACUAAGAAUACUGCUUCUUAACAUUCUCUUAAUUCAACAUCGAGGUCGCAAAAUAUAAUAUAGAUAUGAACUCCCCAUUAAAAUUACGCUGUUAUCCCUAAGGUAACUUUAUCUUGUUUUCCCUCUUACAGGAUCUGAAAUUACAUAUAUAAAUGAAUUAUAAAACUAAAGUUAUACUAUUUAACCACCACCCCAGCAAAAAAUAAUGUGAAUAUUAAAAAAUAUUAACAAUAAAAUUUAAUAAUAUAAAAUCAUAUAAAGUUCUAUAGGGUCUUAUCGUCCCAAUAAAUUAAUAAAGCAUUUUAACUUUAAAUUUAAAUUUUAACAUUAAAAGAAAUAAAACAUAAUUCUCAUACAUCCAUUCAUACAAGCUUCCAAUUAAAAAACUAAUUACUAUGCUACCUUUGCACAGUCAAAAUACUGCAGCCAUUUAGAAAAUUUUUAACCAUAGGGCAGAAGAUACUUUUUAUAAAACCA
rnacentral:rRNA from 1 species